UACGUAGGGUGCAAGCGUUAUCCGGAAUUAUUGGGCGUAAAGAGCUCGUAGGCGGUUUGUCGCGUCUGCUGUGAAAACUGGAGGCUCAACCUCCAGCCUGCAGUGGGUACGGGCAGACUAGAGUGCGGUAGGGGAGAUUGGAAUUCCUGGUGUAGCGGUGGAAUGCGCAGAUAUCAGGAGGAACACCGAUGGCGAAGGCAGAUCUCUGGGCCGUAACCGACGCUGAGGAGCGAAAGCAUGGGGAGCGAACAGG
rnacentral:rRNA from 1 species